GAUGAAGAACGUAGCGAAAUGCGAUACUUGGUGUGAAUUGCAGAAUCCCGUGAACCAUCGAGUCUUUGAACGCAAGUUGCGCCCGAAGCCGUCAGGCCGAGGGCACGCCUGCCUGGGCGUCACACGCCGUUGCCCCCCCGCGCCCCGCACCCAACUCUUUGGGAGCGACCGCGGGGCGGGCUGAUGAUGGCCUCCCGUGCGCUCCGCCGCGCGGUUGGCCCAAAUACCGAGUCCCCGGCGACGUGCGCCACGACGAUCGGGGGUUGAGAGACCUCUGUCGCAAGUCGUGCGCGCCCGUCGCGUCACGCGGGCUCGCAUAGCGCCUCGCGCCGCACCCGGUGCGGAGCUUUCAACGCGACCCCAGGUCAGGCGGGGUUACCCGCUGAAUUUAAGCAUAUCAAUAAGCGGAGGA
rnacentral:misc_RNA from 1 species